rnacentral:tRNA from 1 species
GCCUUUCUGGUGUAGUGGUCAACACGCUCGACGCGUAUUCGAGAGGUCCGUGGUUCGAAUCCUGGGGAGGGUA